rnacentral:rRNA from 1 species
UACAGAGGGUGCGAGCGUUAAUCGGAAUUACUGGGUGUAAAGGGCGCGUAGGCGGUAAGAUGUGUGUGUUGUGAAAGCCCCGGGCUUAACCUGGGAAGAGCAAUGCAAACUAUCUAACUAGAGUAUAUGAGAGGGUGGCGGAAUUUCCGGUGUAGCGGUGAAAUGCGUAGAGAUCGGAAGGAACGUCAAUGGCGAAGGCAGCCACCUGGCAUAAUACUGACGCUGAGGCGCGAAAGCGUGGGGAGCGAACAGG